rnacentral:rRNA from 1 species
GACGAACGCUGGCGGCGUGCCUAAUACAUGCAAGUUGAGCGCUGAAGGUUGGUACUUGUACCGACUGGAUGAGCAGCGAACGGGUGAGUAACGCGUGGGGAAUCUGCCUUUGAGCGGGGGACAACAUUUGGAAACGAAUGCUAAUACCGCAUAAAAACUUUAAACACAAGUUUUAAGUUUGAAAGAUGCAAUUGCAUCACUCAAAGAUGAUCCCGCGUUGUAUUAGGUAGUUGGUGAGGUAAAGGCUCACCAAGGCGAUGAUACAUAGCCGACCUGAGAGGGUGAGCGGCCACAAUGGGACGGAGACACGGCCCAAACUCCUACGGGAGGCAGCAGUAGGGAAACUUCGGCAAUGGACGAAAGUCUGACCGAGAAACGCCGCGUGAGUGAAGAAGGUUGUCGGAUCGUAAAAAUCUGUUGGUAGAGAAGAACGUUGGUGAGAGUGGAAAGCUCAUCAAGUGACGGUAACUACACAGAAAGGGACGGCUAACUACGUG